rnacentral:rRNA from 1 species
UCAGUGGCGAACGGGUGAGUAACACGUGAGCAACCUGCCCCUGACUCUGGGAUAAGCGCUGGAAACGGCGUCUAAUACUGGAUACGAACCACGAAGGCAUCUUCAGUGGUUGGAAAGAAUUUCGGUUGGGGAUGGGCUCGCGGCCUAUCAGCUUGUUGGUGAGGUAAUGGCUCACCAAGGCGUCGACGGGUAGCCGGCCUGAGAGGGUGACCGGCCACACUGGGACUGAGACACGGCCCAGACUCCUACGGGAGGCAGCAGUGGGGAAUAUUGCACAAUGGGCGAAAGCCUGAUGCAGCAACGCCGCGUGAGGGAUGACGGCCUUCGGGUUGUAAACCUCUUUUAGCAGGGAAGAAGCGAAAGUGACGGUACCUGCAGAAAAAGCGCCGGCUAACUACGUGCCAGCAGCCGCGGUAAUACGUAGGGCGCAAGCGUUAUCCGGAAUUAUUGGGCGUAAAGAGCUCGUAGGCGGUUUGUCGCGUCUGCUGUGAAAUCCGGAGGCUCAACCUCCGGCCUGCAGUGGGUACGGGCAGACUAGAGUGCGGUAGGGGAGAUUGGAAUUCCUGGUGUAGCGGUGGAAUGCGCAGAUAUCAGGAGGAACACCGAUGGCGAAGGCAGAUCUCUGGGCCGUAACUGACGCUGAGGAGCGAAAGGGUGGGGAGCAAACAGGCUUAGAUACCCUGGUAGUCCACCCCGUAAACGUUGGGAACUAGUUGUGGGGUCCAUUCCACGGAUUCCGUGACGCAGCUAACGCAUUAAGUUCCCCGCCUGGGGAGUACGGCCGCAAGGCUAAAACUCAAAGGAAUUGACGGGGACCCGCACAAGCGGCGGAGCAUGCGGAUUAAUUCGAUGCAACGCGAAGAACCUUACCAAGGCUUGACAUAUACGAGAACGGGCCAGAAAUGGU